CAUCUAUUGUUGUAUCUCUGCGUGAGCGGUCGGUUACGACUCCUGUGGCUAAGGAGGAGGAGGGCGAGGUCGAUGUCAGAUUAUCU
rnacentral:rRNA from 14 species